UACGUAGGGUGCAAGCGUUGUCCGGAAUUAUUGGGCGUAAAGAGCUCGUAGGCGGUCUGUCGCGUCGGCUGUGAAAACCCGGGGCUCAACCCCGGGCCUGCAGUCGAUACGGGCAGACUAGAGUGCGGUAGGGGAGACUGGAAUUCCUGGUGUAGCGGUGAAAUGCGCAGAUAUCAGGAGGAACACCGAUGGCGAAGGCAGGUCUCUGGGCCAUAACUGACGCUGAGAAGCGAAAGCAUGGGGAGCGAACAGG
rnacentral:rRNA from 1 species